rnacentral:rRNA from 1 species
AGGAGAGGAGAGCGGAAUUCCCAGUGUAGCGGUGAAAUGCGUAGAUAUUGGGAGGAACACCAGUGGCGAAGGCGGCUCUCUGGACUGUACCUGACGCUGAGGCGCGAAAGCGUGGGGAGCAAACAGGAUUAGAUACCCUGGUAGUCCACGCUGUAAACUAUGAUUACUAGUUGUUUGCGAUAUAUUGUAAGCGACUGCGCGAAAGCAUUAAGUAAUCCACCUGGGGAGUACGCG